UAAAAAAUUGAAUAGAAAAAAUAGAGUGAAGAAAAAUAGGAAAUUAAAGAUGAAAUCAUCACCAUUAUCAUCUCGACGAUCAUCAUCGUCAUCACCAUUAACGAAAACAUCGAUGAGAAUUAGUUUAUCAAAAAAAUUGAAAAAAACAACUAGUAAUGUUAUUGGGAAAACUAAGAAAAAAAGACAACAACCAAAGGGUUUAGAUAAAACGAUGAAGACGACAAAGAAGAUAAUUGAAAUCCUGGAUCCAGAGCAGCAGCAGAUCAAAAAACAGAUUAUGAAAAAAACGAAAAGAAAAAUGAAAAUUUCAAUGGAAAACAGGAAAAAAAUAACUGCUUUCACCACCAGUAGUACCAUCAUCUCUAAUUCGAAAAAAAACAAAAUGGAUCAUCCAUCAUUGGUGGCUUAUCCACCACCACCGCUAAUAACGAUGAUACUGAUAUUUCACAAUCAUUUUUUGUGAAAUCCAAUUUUAUCAAUGAGAUGAGCCAAAAGAACAGAAAUUCCUUGAACUUUUUCUUUGAUCAUCACCAAGCAUAUGAUUUUUUUUUGUAAAAGUGAAGGAAUUUUCUUCUUUCAUCCCCAUUAACCACCACCUCCAUUACCAGUACAUUUUGUCAUUUCAAGUUGACACAGGUGAUUUGUUGGCUUGAAAUUUCAACCAGAAAACCAGAUGAACAUCGUGCGCAUACACAUGGAUUGCCAAUGACCAGGAUAAAGUUCAAUCAUCGAAUCAAUGAAGUUUGCUUUCGUUUGGUGUUUUGUUUUCCAUUUCGAAAAUGUUGCGUCAAAAAAAAAAUUGUCGAUAUGGAAAUUUUGUCAACCAAAAAAAACAACAACA